CCGUCCUCCUCGCUGCAGGCCGAGAGCGGAGGCGUAAACCCAGGCCAGCGAGGAGUGUCCUAUAAAGGGACGGGGACUUUUCGGCGCUUGCAAUUCUCCCAUUCUGAAAAAUAGAUCGGAAGAGGGCUAUUGGUUGAUUCUUGAAAGGGGAGCGCAUUUCCUGUUGGCCUGCGAAUUUGGGGUGAACUGGGACAAGU